rnacentral:rRNA from 1 species
UACGGAGGGUGCAAGCGUUAUCCGGAUUCACUGGGUUUAAAGGGUGCGUAGGUGGUCUGUUAAGUCAGCGGUGAAAGCCUGGAGCUCAACUCCAGAAUUGCCAUUGAUACUGACGGACUUGAAUCAAGUUGAGGUGGAUGGAAUAUUACAUGUAGCGGUGAAAUGCUUAGAUAUGUAAUAGAACACCAAUUGCGAAGGCAGUUCACUAAGCUUGCAUUGACACUGAGGCACGAAAAGCGUGGGGAGUCAAACAGGA